rnacentral:rRNA from 1 species
UACGUAGGGUGCGAGCGUUAAUCGGAAUUACUGGGCGUAAAGCGUGCGCAGGCGGUUUUGUAAGCCAGAUGUGAAAUCCCCGGGCUUAACCUGGGAAUGGCAUUUGGGACUGCAAGGCUGGAGUUUGGCAGAGGAGACUGGAAUUCCUGGUGUAGCAGUGAAAUGCGUAGAUAUCAGGAGGAAUACCGAUGGCGAAGGCAGGGUCUCUGGGCUAUAACUGACGCUCAUGCACGAAAGGCGUGGGGAGCAAACAGGAUUAACGAAACCCGUG